rnacentral:misc_RNA from 1 species
GAUGAAGAACGCAGCGAAAUGCGAUAAGUAAUGUGAAUUGCAGAAUUCAGUGAAUCAUCGAAUCUUUGAACGCACAUUGCGCCCCCUGGUAUUCCGGGGGGCAUGCCUGUCCGAGCGUCAUUACAACCCUCAAGCUCAGCUUGGUAUUGGGCCCCGCCGACCCGGCGGGCCCUAAAGUCAGUGGCGGUGCCGUCCGGCUCCGAGCGUAGUAAUUCUUCUCGCUCUGGAGGUCCGGUCGUGUGCUCGCCAGCAACCCCCAAUUUUUUUCAGGUUGACCUCGGAUCAGGUAGGGAUACCCGCUGAACUUAAGCAUAUCAAUAACGGAGGA